rnacentral:rRNA from 1 species
AGAUCCUGAAACCGUAUGCAUACAAAAAGUGGGAGCCUCGUAAGGGGUGACUGCGUACCUUUUGUAUAAUGGGUCAGCGACUUACAUUUACUGGCAAGCCUAAGCGCAUAGCGGAGGCGUAGCGAAAGCGAGUCCGAAUAGGGCGUUUAGUCGGUAGGUGUAGACCCGAAACCAGAUGAUCUACUCAUGGCCAGGUUGAAGGUCGGGUAACACCGGCUGGAGGACCGAACCAACCACUGUUGCAAAAGUGGUGGAUGAGCUGUGGGUAGGGGUGAAAGGCUAAACAAAUCUGGAAAUAGCUGGUUCUCUCCGAAAACUAUUUAGGUAGUGCCUCAAGUAUUACUUCCGGGGGUAGAGCACUGUUAUGGCUAGGGGGGCAUGACGCCUUACCAAACCAUUGCAAACUCCGAAUACCGGAAAGUACAGCUUGGGAGACAGAGCACCGGGUGCUAACGUCCGGACUCAAGAGGGAAACAACCCAGACCGCCAGCUAAGGUCCCCAAUGAUUGGCUAAGUGGGAAACGAAGUGGGAAGGCUAAAACAGUCAGGAGGUUGGCUUAGAAGCAGCCACCCUUUAAAGAAAGCGUAAUAGCUCACUGAUCGAGUCGUCCUGCGCGGAAGAUGUAUCGGGGCUCAAGCCAAUAACCGAAGCUGCGGAUGCACAUAGCAAUAUGUGUGUGGUAGGAGAGCGUUCCGUACGCCUGUGAAGGUGACCUGUGAGGGUUGCUGGAGGUAUCGGAAGUGCGAAUGCUGACAUGAGUAGCGUUAAAGCGGGUGAAAGGCCCGCUCGCCGUAAGCCCAAGGUUUCCUGCGCAACGUUCAUCGGCGCAGGGUGAGUCGGCCCCUAAGGCGAGGCAGAAAUGCGUAGUCGAUGGGAAACAGGUCAAUAUUCCUGUACCGGCUUUGGAUGCGAUGUGGGGACGGAGAAGGUUAGGUACGCCGGGUGUUGGAUGUCCCGGUUUAAGCGUGUAGGAAGAUCUCUUAGGCAAAUCCGGGAGGUCAAUUCUGAGGCGUGAUGACGAGUGGAGUUUUCUCCACGAAGGUACUGAUACCCUGCUUCCAAGAAAAGCCACUAAGCUUCAGUCCAAAGACGACCGUACCGCAAACCGACACUGGUGGGCGAGAUGAAAAUUCUCAGGCGCUUGAGAGAACUCGGUUGAAGGAACUCGGCAAAUUGACACCGUAACUUCGGAAGAAGGUGUGCCGCUAGUAGGUGAAGGUGUACAACUGGAGCCCAACGCGGUUGCAAAAAAUAGGUGGCUGCGACUGUUUAUUAAAAACACAGCACUCUGCAAACACGAAAGUGGACGUAUAGGGUGUGACGCCUGCCCGGUGCCGGAAGGUUAAAUGAUGGGGUGCAAGCUCUUGAUUGAAGCCCCGGUAAACGGCGGCCGUAACAAUAACGGUCCUAAGGUAGCGAAAUUCCUUGUCGGGUAAGUUCCGACCUGCACGAAUGGCGUAACGAUGGCCACACUGUCUCCAACCGAGACUCAGCGAAGUUGAAAUGUUUGUGAUGAUGCAAUCUACCCGCGGCUAGACGGAAAGACCCCGUGCACCUUUACUGUAGCUUUGCAUGGGACUGUGAACCGAUCC